AUUAGAUGACAUCGUUGAUUUUUUCUCACAUGUUUGACCAUUCGUCUUAUUCAAAAAAUUUAUGUAAUUAUAAUUUAUUUUGUUAUGACUUGUUUUAUCACUCAUGAUACUUUAAGUGUGAUUUAUAUCUUAUAUAUUUGUAUAAAUUUUUUGAAUAAGACGAAUGAUCCAACAUGUGAUAAAAAUUCAACGGCGUCAUCUAUU
rnacentral:pre_miRNA from 1 species